rfam:Drosophila ficusphila unplaced genomic scaffold scf7180000454077, whole genome shotgun sequence
CUGGUGGCCGGUAGCAAUGGCUUGUGGUUCGAUUGGAGACUGCCUGCUUAUAACACUUGGCUAGAUCGAAAUUCUAUCUAAUAUCCGUAGCGUCAUAAUGUGUAAUUUAGCCGACAUUUGGCGUAUGAAACGAAGAGACAUUUUC